AGAGUUUGAUCCUGGCUCAGGACGAACGCUGGCGGCGUGCUUAACACAUGCAAGUCGAGCGGAGACAGUGAGUAGCUUGCUAUGAGCUGUUUUAGCGGCGGACGGGUGAGUAACGCGUGAGCAACCUUUCCCAGACAGGGGAAUAACACACCGAAAAGGUGUACUAAUACCGCAUAAGACCACGGGAUCGACAUGGUUCUGGGG
rnacentral:rRNA from 1 species